UUCAUGCUGCCCGAGGACGCUGCCAUGGCUGUGGUGAGUGGAGGGAGGGACGCCAAGCAGGGCAGGCCUCUCACCUGCCACCUGGGCCCACUGAUGCCUGUCCCUGCAGCUGACGGCCUCCAACCACGUGAGCAACGUCACCGUGAACUACAACAUCACCGUGGAGCGGAUGAACAGGAUGCAGGGCCUGCGGGUCUCUACAGUGCCAGCCGUGCUGUCCCCCAAUGCCACGCUGGCACUGACGGCGGGCGUGCUGGUGGACUCGGCCGUGGAGGUGGCCUUCCUGUGGACCUUUGGGGAUGGGGAGCAGGCCCUCCACCAGUUCCAGCCUCCGUACAACGAGUCCUUCCCGGUUCCAGACCCCUCGGUGGCCCAGGUGCUGGUGGAGCACAAUGUCACCCACACCUACGCUGCCCCAGGUGCUGAUCCGCAGUGGCCGGGUGCCCAUUGUGUCCUUGGAGUGUGUGUCCUGCAAGGCACAGGCCGUGUACGAAGUGAGCCGCAGCUCCUACGUGUACCUGGAGGGCCGCUGCCUCAAUUGCAGCAGCGGCUCCAAGCGAGGG
rnacentral:lncRNA from 1 species